UACACAUACACACACCAACACCAACAACAACUUGCAAAUUUCUGCAUAAUCUGCUUCUGCUUCUGCUUCCACACACACACAGAUCACAGAAAGAAGAAAUUUAAUUAGGUGUAUGAAGAGCAAGAUGGAGAAGCAGGGCACGUGCUGUACUAACUCAACUCUGUUUUUCCAAAUUAUAAUAAUAUCCCACAUUUUCACUCUUCUUUUUCUUCUCUUUUUUAACACCAGAUUCUCAAAAUAAUUACACCAAAAAAAACCCUGUUUUUUAUUCUGCUUCUGCUUCUGAGUUAGUUCUUCAUGUGCCCCUCUUCGCCAUCGUGACCACUGCACCUUAAUUUAUAACUCUCCUUCUGCUUCUGCUUCUACUUCUGCUUCUGCUUCAGGUGAGUUACAAGUCUAUGACACCACUUCUGAGAUUCUAGUGGGUUUAAAUUUAAAUUUACUUUUUAAGGGUGGAGUUGUAUCUCAAUUUGGUGAAUUUUUUAAGGUUUAGAUAGUAUUUUUGUUCAUGUAUUUUCAGAGGGUGUAUUUUGGUAUUUGUGUUCUCAAUAAUUGUUCGCUUUCUCUACCUAGUUUCAAAACAUUUGAUUUAUUCCUACA